AGCUAUUCAGUAUAAAAUUAUACGUUUGUUUUGAAAACUUAAAAAGGCCUGCCAAUAGCUU
rnacentral:tRNA from 1 species